rnacentral:rRNA from 1 species
UUCCUUAAACCCAAAAGGUUUGGCGGCUUUUAACCCAUUAAGAGGAGCUUGUUAUUUAAUCGAUGAACCGCGAUGGAUCUUACCUUCUUUAGUAAUUUGUAUACCACCAUCUCAGAAACGUCGGAAGAUAUUUCUAUAAUAAGUAUAACUAGGAUGUUAGGUCAAGGUGCAGUGAAUAAGGCGGCAAAAAUGGGCUACAGUAUCUUAGAAUUUGGAUAUUUAUUUUAUUAAGGUAACUGAAACAGGAUUUUAAGGUAAUUUUAUUUAAGUGUGGUGGGGUGACACGGAAAUUUAAAAGUGCACAUAUCGCCCGUCGCUCCGCGGGA